rnacentral:tRNA from 1 species
UUCUGUCUAGCUUAAAGAAAGCACUAGUUUGAAGAGCUGGGGAUACUUAUACGGUGGCAGGAG